UUCCCCUGGAAUCCUACAAAUCAAAGAGGCCUUGAAUUGUUUUGUGUGGAACUCAAACAGAACCAACUUCUGGUUUCUGAAAGAGAUGAUUGGGAGUUGCCUUCCACAUUCCUUUUGUCCAAGCUUUUCUUUCCUUGUUGAUUCUGUAGAGCACAAUGUGCAGGUCAUGGGCACUUUCUCUAGCAUGUCUCUGAUGUGGCAAAAAGAUAAAAAGGAGGGAGAGAUCAGCCCAGGACUAAUCCUUUUUGCAAAAGGGAUUCUAAAAAGGAACUUGACUGACACACCUUUUUUACCGGCAUGCCAUCUCCAAAAUUCCUGACGAGUUUCUGAAGCAAUGCAAAGCAAAGCGAAGAUUCUCCACUAGCAGCUUGAGACAAGCAUGCACACUAAACCAUCCUGACCCACACCAGCACCAGCCGCAUGCCUACAAAAUUUAACACCAUCUAGAGACAUCAUCUUGAGUGGUGCUACACCACACUGCUAUAUAUACUUCAGAGAAUAGUAGAUGAAAACUCAUGGUUGCACAGCACCUUCUGCUUCUCUAUACUCCUACUAUAGUAGUAACAUACAUACAUACCUCCAUGGACAGGUGCUUUCAGCUGGGAAAAUCUGCAGGCUCUGCGAUUCCAAGAUGGAGAAAUGUCUCUGAGGCAAGUGAUGUACUUUAGCACACAUGUCCCUUUAUAAUGCAGUUCAGGGCAUGUGCAGAUGAGUUGAGGAGUUACCUGUGUUUUAGAGCUGAAGUGGACUUGACAUUUCUGCAGGAGACGACGGCCCAAUGGAUCGGACAUGGGGAGAAGAGCACGGCCUUGGUCUCCAACUUCGGCGGUCAUGGUGGCUUCGCCGAGCUGAAGUACUUUCUCAGCUGUGC
rnacentral:lncRNA from 1 species